rnacentral:rRNA from 1 species
AGAGUUUGAUCAUGGCUCAGGAUGAACGCUAGCGGCAGGCUUAACACAUGCAAGUCGAGGGGUAUAGUUCUUCGGAAUUAGAGACCGGCGCACGGGUGCGUAACGCGUAUGCAAUCUACCUUUUACAGAGGGAUAGCCCAGAGAAAUUUGGAUUAAUACCUCAUAGUAUUAUGAAAUGGCAUCAUUUUAUAAUUAAAGUCACAACGGUAAAAGAUGAGCAUGCGUCCCAUUAGCUAGUUGGUAAGGUAACGGCUUACCAAGGCUACGAUGGGUAGGGGUCCUGAGAGGGAGAUCCCCCACACUGGUACUGAGACACGGACCAGACUCCUACGGGAGGCAGCAGUGAGGAAUAUUGGUCAAUGGGCGCAAGCCUGAACCAGCCAUGCCGCGUGCAGGAUGACGGUCCUAUGGAUUGUAAACUGCUUUUGUACAGGAAGAAACAACUCUACGUGUAGAGUCUUGACGGUACUGUAAGAAUAAGGAUCGGCUAACUCCGUGCCAGCAGCCGCGGUAAUACGGAGGAUCCAAGCGUUAUCCGGAAUCAUUGGGUUUAAAGGGUCCGUAGGCGGUUUAGUAAGUCAGUGGUGAAAGCCCAUCGCUCAACGGUGGAACGGCCAUUGAUACUGCUAGACUUGAAUUAUUAGGAAGUAACUAGAAUAUGUAGUGUAGCGGUGAAAUGCUUAGAGAUUACAUGGAAUACCAAUUGCGAAGGCAGGUUACUACUAAUGGAUUGACGCUGAUGGACGAAAGCGUGGGUAGCGAACAGGAUUAGAUACCCUAGUAGUCC